AUUGAACGCUGGCGGCAGGCCUAACACAUGCAAGUCGAACGGUAGCACAGAGGAGCUUGCUCCUUGGGUGACGAGUGGCGGACGGGUGAGUAAUGUCUGGGAAACUGCCCGAUGGAGGGGGAUAACUACUGGAAACGGUAGCUAAUACCGCAUAACGUCGCAAGACCAAAGAGGGGGACCUUCGGGCCUCUUGCCAUCGGAUGUGCCCAGAUGGGAUUAGCUAGUAGGUGGGGUAACGGCUCACCUAGGCGACGAUCCCUAGCUGGUCUGAGAGGAUGACCAGCCACACUGGAACUGAGACACGGUCCAGACUCCUACGGGAGGCAGCAGUGGGGAAUAUUGCACAAUGGGCGCAAGCCUGAUGCAGCCAUGCCGCGUGUAUGAAGAAGGCCUUCGGGUUGUAAAGUACUUUCAGCGAGGAGGAAGGCGUUGUGGUUAAUAACCGCAACGAUUGACGUUACUCGCAGAAGAAGCACCGGCUAACUCCGUGCCAGCCGCCGCGGUA
rnacentral:rRNA from 1 species